CCCUGGUGAGCUCAGUUUGUAGAGCACUACACUGGAAAUGGAGCGAUCCCGGGUUCGAUACUCGGACCAGACG
rfam:Ixodes scapularis strain Wikel colony gcontig_1108378233412, whole genome shotgun sequence.